UACAUACGUAGUCAUAGAAACGGAAGAGUUCAGACUUGCUUCUCCUGUUCUUACGUUGGAGAUAAGAGUGGAGUGAAUUGAGUGAAUGAGUGUGAGUGCCAAGUGAAAACAAGGACACACAAGAUUAGGGUUUCCAUUUUCAUCUGUUAUGGCUUCAAUAAACACUGCUUUGACAUCGUUCGUAUGCAAAAGGAUUAACACCAGCUCUCAUAAGUUUCUGAACACAUCAUUCAUACCUGAAUUUGAUGUGCUCGGCCGUGUCUCGAAUAUUUGGGAUAAAGAAUCAUGUGCUUCUGCUGCACCUCGACUGAAUUCUGGUCCUAGAGCUACAUUAACCUUUGAUCCAUCAACAACUAGUAAUUCUGAAAACAAAAGUAAACAGAGCAAACAUACGAUUAAUCCUGCUGCUCCUGAUUUUCUCCCUUUACCAUCCUUCGAACAAUGCUUUCCUAAAAGCACUAAAGAAAGCAGGGAGGUUGUUCAUGAGGAAUCUGGUCAUGUGCUUAAGGUUCCAUUCAGACGGGUUCAUUUGUCUGGUGAUGAAUCACAUUUUGAUACCUACGAUACCAGCGGUCCACAGAAUAUCAAUCCACGAGAUGGGCUCCCUAAACUGCGCAAAGACUGGAUUGAAAGAAGGGAGGGUAUAGGUGGACCAAGAUAUACCCAGAUGUAUUAUGCUAAGCAGGGAGUUAUUACUGAAGAGAUGUUGUUCUGUGCCACUCGCGAAAAUCUUGAUCCAGAAUUUGUGAGGUCAGAAGUCGCACGUGGACGGGCAAUCAUACCUUCAAACAAGAAGCAUUUGGAGUUGGAGCCCAUGAUAGUUGGAAGAAAUUUUUUGGUCAAGGUCAAUGCAAAUAUUGGGAAUUCAGCUGUUGUCAGCUCUAUUGAGGAAGAAGUGGUAAAACUUCAAUGGGCUACUAUGUGGGGUGGUGAUACUAUAAUGGAUCUCUCUACAGGUCGUCACAUCCACGAGACACGUGAGUGGAUCCUUCGUAAUUCAGCUGUGCCUGUAGGAACUGUCCCAAUAUACCAGGCUCUAGAGAAGGUGAAUGGUAUUGCCGAAGAUCUUAACUGGGAAGUUUUCAGGCAAACCUUAAUUGAACAAGCCGAGCAGGGUGUGGAUUACUUCACAAUCCAUGCUGGGGUUCUGCUUCGCUACAUUCCUCUGACAGCUAAGCGCAUGACCGGAAUUGUGUCACGUGGAGGAUCAAUUCACGCAAAAUGGUGCUUGGCUUAUCAUAGGGAGAAUUUCGCUUAUGAGCACUGGGAUGAUAUCCUCGACAUCUGUAAUCAAUAUGACGUGGCUUUAUCAAUUGGUGAUGGACUGAGGCCUGGCUCAAUUUAUGAUGCCAAUGACACUGCUCAAUUUGCUGAGCUUUUGACACAAGGAGAGCUAACACGUCGAGCGUGGGAGAAGGACGUACAGGUGAUGAACGAAGGACCUGGGCAUAUUCCACUACACAAAAUCCCUGAAAACAUGGAAAAACAGCUCGAAUGGUGCAAUGAAGCACCAUUUUAUACACUUGGUCCAUUGACGACUGAUAUUGCACCUGGGUAUGAUCACAUUACCUCUGCCAUUGGAGCUGCUAAUAUAGGAGCUCUUGGAACUGCCCUUCUUUGUUAUGUGACACCAAAGGAGCACCUUGGGCUACCAAAUAGGGAUGAUGUGAAGGCUGGAGUUAUUGCAUACAAGAUAGCUGCUCAUGCAGCCGAUUUAGCUAAAGGUCAUCCAGGUGCUCAAGCCUGGGAUGAUGCAUUGAGCAAGGCAAGAUUCGAGUUUCGGUGGAUGGACCAGUUCGCGUUGUCGUUGGAUCCCAUGACUGCCAUGUCCUUCCAUGACGAGACCCUACCAGCUGAUGGGGCUAAAGUUGCACAUUUCUGCUCUAUGUGUGGGCCAAAGUUCUGUUCUAUGAAGAUAACAGAGGAUGUCAGGAAGUACGCUGAGAAGCAUGGCUACGGGGAUGAAGAAGCUGUAAAGCGUGGAAUGGAUGCUAUGAGUGCAGAGUUUUUGGCUGCUAAGAAAACUGUGAGUGGAGAGCAACACGGUGAAGUUGGGGGUGAAAUCUACUUGCCUGCAAAUUAUGUGUCUGAAGCUCAACCUCUUUGAGAAUAUGAGAGACAAAAGGAGUAAGUAUAGUCUCGUUUAGCAAACUGGGUCGAGGCCUCUAGGUGCCUUAGCAAAUGAUCCUACUUGUUCAGCGGUUGUGACUUGUGGUUGUCAUUUCAGGAUGUAGGGGUGCCUGCACCUGGUCCGGUACUGGUCAUGUUUUGCGGCUUUUGCCAAGACUGUAACCAGGUGUUGGCUGAGAAAGUCCCUUUGAACCUGAACAGGAUAAUGCCUGCGUAGGGAGUGUGCGUUUGUUUUUUUCUUUUGUGCUUGAACAGGGCAUCCUUACCUCUGGCCAUCUCUGAUCCAUGUGGAUAUCAAAGUCUGGCCAUCUUCAUUCGUACACAUGGGAGGUUGGCAGGUUGCUGAAUCUGCUCCAUGUUUCUGCUGCUCCAAGUGUAGUCUAGCACAGUAGCCUUGAGAGCCUGGUACUGCAUACACGUGCAAUGCUAACUAUCUAAUUCUUUUACUAUUUUGCAAAUGAUAUCAUUGUGAAAGUUGUUUCAGACGUGAAAACGACUAAAGCGAACUUGAAGGUUCAUACAAAAAUCAGAGAACAAUCCUCUUGUCCUCAUGAACUUUCGAGCUCAUUUUAGUCAUUUUGUCAUCUGAUUAGCUGAAGUUUAAAAUUAGAAAAAAAAAGAAAAAAAAGAGGGAUCUUCUUUAGUUUCCAAAAUCGUAUCAUUUACAUAUUUUGGUUUAGUAUUCAAGAAGGUAUGAUUUUUUGAAUAGACUAUCUCAUAUCCGAAGAAAAUGGACCGAAAGUUUGUUGAGUAGCAUGAACUACAUGAAAAA